GACCAAAGUGUUGAGUUCAGCUCUGGGCUUACUCCCCAGUCCUGGUAAUUAAUCUUUGGUACAGAAUGUGGCCAAGUGUGAACAUGUCAGAAGUAGUGAUCAUCUUGCUGCUUCAGCAGAUCUUGGCCAACAUUC